rnacentral:rRNA from 1 species
UACGAGGGGGGCGAGCGUUGUUCGGAAUUAUUGGGCGUAAAGGGUGCGUAGGCGGUUUGGUAAGUCUUGUGUGAAAUCUACAGGCUCAACUGGGGAGGGUCACGCGAUACUGCUCGACUCGAAGGCAGGAGAGGGAAGUGGAAUUCCCGGUGUAGUGGUGAAAUGCGUAGAUAUCGGGAGGAACACCAGUGGCGAAGGCGACUUCCUGGCCUGUUCUUGACGCUGAGGCGCGAAAGCUAGGGUAGCAAACGGG